ACACCGUUGGUGAAACGGUAUCAUGCAUCGUUGCCAUUAGCGUAGUUUCGAUGCGGCAGGGGUUCGACUCCCCUACGGUGUA
rnacentral:tRNA from 1 species